rnacentral:tRNA from 1 species
GGUCCCUUAGCUCAUUCGGUUAGAGCAUCUGACUCAUAAUCAGGGGGUGCUUGGUUCGAUUCCAAGAGGGACCA